UCCUUCGUAGUGUAGGGGUUAUCAUUCUCGCCUUUCAAGGACUUCGGUCUCAUGUACGCGAGCGACCCGGGUUCGAUUCCCGGCGUGGGAA
rnacentral:tRNA from 1 species